rnacentral:lncRNA from 1 species
CAGAAAAUGGAAUUUCUCUUUUCCACAUAGAAAUGCAAUAAUGACAGAAUUCAAUUCAAUAUUCAUCUGUAAACCAAAGCUUACUAGUUUACUAGUAAAUACUACCAUGGAACAUCUGCUGCCAAAAUUUCUACCUCAGUGCUCCUUGGGUAAAUGCAAGACUGUAUUUUUGCCAGACAAUUUCUACCUUAAUUUCAGAUGGAUCAAUUAUUCACAGCUUUCCAGAUUCUGCUUCUCUUGGUAAAAACAAGACAGAUUCAUCAAUUUGCCACAGAAAAUGCAAACAUUAGUCAUUAGUAAACAUGAAGAAUCAUUAUCACCCCUAUGCCUGAAGGGACAAGGAGAAGAAAUGUUUCACAAAACUCAGAAGCAAUAGCAAUGUGAUACUGGAAGAAAUGUCCUAAGGCAGGAGGAAGAAAGAGGGAGAAUAGCUUGACCAUGCUCCUCCAGCUCUCCAUCUUCUCAUCAGUGUCUCCCAUAAUCCAGAUAUAAGCCAAAGGACAAGACAGCUGUAGACACAGUCCACAGGUAUAUGCCUCCUGGGGGAAUGGUCAUAUGUAGACAAGAAUCAAGGGGAUUUGGAAUGGCAAAAUUAAAUAUCUGUCAGAGUAGGGCAUGUAGUUAGCCAACAUUUCUUAAUCUCUGACUAUAAUCAAAGGUCUUUGGAAACCAAAAUAAAUAACAGGCUACUCUCUUCAAAGAACCAAUCAGCCUAAUGAAGUAGACAUGAAAAAAAAAAAUCAAUCAGGGUAUUCCCACAUAAACAAUGAUUGAGCAUUUAUCAAAUAAAUGCUGGAAAAGAGUUGAAAACAAUAUGCAGAAAUAUUAUGUGGAAAAAAGAAAAAAAUAAUCAGAAAAUCCCUAUAUAAAUAAUUGCUUCAAACUAGUGAAGUUUUUAUUUUAGACUUUUGUUUUGCUCUCACAUUAUUUUCCCAUAAAGAUCCUUUGGGAAUGUCAUAUGUUG